rnacentral:sRNA from 1 species
CCAUGUAAAUUAUCAUGUUAUGGCAAUGAUGUUGCGGUGAAUCCCGUUAGCACGGGGCAAACUGAUCAUAUACUUCUGUUAACCAAUGUCGCAGCAGACGCCAUAGCGGGUCAUGGCAGGUUAACCAAAGGCUCACCGGAAAGUACCCGGCACCGUAACACUCCAGUGAAAGCGGGUAAUUAAUCAAAGGUUCACUACGGUGGGCCUUUUCUGUAUAC